GGAGUUAGCCGGUGCUUCUUCUGUGAGUGAUGUCCUUCCUGCCGGCUAUUAACCCGCAGGCCUUCUUCCUCACUGAAAGUGCUUUACAACCCGAAGGCCUUCUUCACACACGCGGCAUGGCUGGAUCAGGGUUGCCCCCAUUGUCCAAUAUUCCCCACUGCUGCCUCCCGUAGGAGUCUGGGCCGUGUCUCAGUCCCAGUGUGGCUGAUCAUCCUCUCAGACCAGCUACGGAUCGUCGCCUUGGUGAGCCGUUACCUCACCAACCAGCUAAUCCGACAUAGGCUCAUCCGAUAGCGCGAGGCCCGAAGGUCCCCCGCUUUCCCCCGUAGGGCGUAUGCGGUAUUAGCCUGGGUUUCCCCAGGUUAUCCCCCACUACCGGGGCAGAUUCCUAUGCAUUACUCCACCCGUCCGCCGCUCGCCACCAGGAGCAGCUCCCGUCGCUGCCGCUCGACUGCAUGUGUUAGGUCCGUCGCCGCCACGCGUUCACUCUGAGCCAGAAUACAACUACUGA
rnacentral:rRNA from 1 species